GACAGAGGGGGCAAGCGUUGCUCGGAAUUACUGGGCGUAAAGCGUAUGCAGGCGGACUUUUAAGUCGGGGGUGAAAUCCCGAGGCUCAACCUCGGAACUGCCUUCGAUACUGGAAGUCUUGAGUCCGGGAGAGGUGAGUGGAACUGCGAGUGUAGAGGUGAAAUUCGUAGAUAUUCGGAAGAACACCAGUGGCGAAGGCGGCUCACUGGUCCGGUACUGACGCUGAGGUGCGAAAGCGUGGGGAGCAAACAGG
rnacentral:rRNA from 1 species